AUUGAACGCUGGCGGCAGGCCUAACACAUGCAAGUCGAGCGAGCGGCGGACGGGUGAGUAAUGUCUGGGAAACUGCCUGAUGGAGGGGGAUAACUACUGGAAACGGUAGCUAAUACCGCAUACCAUCAGAUGUGCCCAGAUGGGAGUAGCUGGUAGGUGGGGUAACGGCUCACCUAGGCGACGAUCCCUAGCUGGUCUGAGAGGAUGGCCAGCCAACCUGGAACUGAGACACGGGCCCGGCUCCUAAGGGAGGGCGGAGGGGGGAAGAUUUGACAAAGGGCGCCAGCCUGAUGGAGCCAUGCCGCGGGUGUGAAGAAGGCCUUCCGGUUGUAAAGCACUUUCAGCGGGGAGGCGUUACCCGCAGAAGAAGCACCGGCUAACUCCGUGCCAGCAGCCGCGGUAAUUC
rnacentral:rRNA from 1 species